UUUCUCCUUAGACUACACUCGUGUUAGCAGGGCUUGGAGUCGCUGGAGCGGCGAUAGCAGGCCGCUUUGCGAUGCAGGCGUUAAGAAAAGUUAACUUAAAUGAGAUACCUAAGAUUAUUCCUAAGAUACCGGGGCAUAAUUUUUCACACCAAGCAAUCACUUUUGUUCAACGACAACACCCCAUGGAACAAGAAGCAUUCAACAACUUCAUUUGAUGUUACAAUGGGCUCGUUUGACGGUGCGGAAACCUGUGAACUAGUGGGAUCGUUCUUGCUAAACCAACUACCAGAAGGCAUCAGAAAACAAAUAGGCUUACACAGGGAUGACGGCCUGGGCGCAUUCCAGCAAACACCGACAAGGAUCGAAAGAAUAAAGAAAAAUAUUUGCAAAGUGUCCGGCAGCAACGGCUUAAAAAUAACUAUCGCAGCAAACAAAAAAGUGGUCAACUUUCUCGAUGUCACUUUGAACCUAAACACAGGAUCUUAGGAGCCAUAUACAAAACCUAACAACGCACCACUUUAUGUGCACCGUGAAAGCAAUCAUCCACCUUCCAUCCUAAAGAACAUUCCUGGCGAUCAACAAAAGGCUUAGCGAAAUCUCAUCGGACAGGGUAUCCUUCGACAAAGCAGCACCCUUGUAUCAGCAAGCGUUAGAAGCAAGCGGCGGCUAUAACCACCAAUUAAAAUUUGACACAACAACUGAAGACCAGACGAGUAGAGAAGGGAGAAGAAGACACCGAAAUAUAACUUGGUAUAACCCACCUUUCAGUAAGAACGUUGCUACUAACGUGGGAAGGAAAUUUUUAUGCAUCGUAAAAGAAUCCUUUACACCACGGAACCCGCUGAGAAAAAUUUUUAAUUUUUAAUAGGAACACUUUGAAAGUGAGCUAUUCAUGCAUGCCAAAUUUGGAGAGAAAAAUCAGCGCCCACAACAAGUCCUCCCUCGCAAAUAAUUCUCAAUCACAAGAAAAAAUCAUGCAAUUGUAGUGACAAGCACUCUUGUCUCUACAAUUACAAUAUAAUUACAAUACAGAUCUCAAAAAAUCAAACUUGGCGAGGGAUGUCCAUCUGAGUGGGGAUCAAUACCAUCGGGCGUCCCCCAGGGAAACCAAACUAUGGCCUUGGCUUUUCUUAAUUAUGAUCAACUAUUUAGUAGUCGAAAAUGCUCGCUUAUGGAAAUAUGUAGAUGACACCACCAUCUCCGAGACGGUUGCAAAAGGGGAGCUUAGUAACGCACAGCGUCGUACAGAUAGAGUAACCUCCCGGUUAGCUCAUUGGAUAGAGCGCUGGACUGUUGAGCGGGAGGUCGAGGGUUCAG